rnacentral:pre_miRNA from 1 species
AAAAAGGCAAACCCUGGAUUUCCGUGUCUAACUUUGAUUGUCCGUCUUAUAUGAAUUUUUUUUAUAAUUCGUAUUUUUAUUGUUGUUAGAUGAUAAAACAUGAUUAAUAUUUUAUGCAUGACUUGUCUUUUUAAUUUUUUUCAUAACUUUUUCAAAUAAAACAGACGGUCAAACGUUGGGCACAGAAACCAGGGUUUGUCUUUUU